GUAACGAUGGGCCAGUGGGCGGGGGGAUGCGGAGGGGGGGAGGGUUUUCCGGAUGAAUGGGGCGUAAGGGGGUUGUAGGGGGCGUGGCAAGUCGGGUGUGAAGACUUCAGGCGCAACCUGGAGCGGCCACUCGAUACUGCUAUGGCUUGAGUCCGGUAGGGGACCACGGAAUUCCUGGUGUAGCGGUGAAAGGCGCAGAUAUCAGGAGGAACACCAGUGGCGAAGGCGGUGGUCUGGGCCGGAACUGACGCUGAGGAGCGAAAGCGUGGGUAGCAAACAGGAUUAGAUACCCCUGUAGUC
rnacentral:rRNA from 1 species